UGUCACAUAGGUGCAUGGUUUGCACUGAAUGAACCAUAGGCUCAGAAUCCAUUUUGGACGCACCUGAUGGUACUCCUAUGUGGAGAGGCUCAAGUGGAAGCUCGGUUCAGUCUGUUUGGAGAUAGUGCUAAUCUUGAUGCAAGAUAGGUGCAUGGUUUGCAUGGAGCGUACCAUAUGCUCGGAAAUCAAUUUGGACGCACCCGAUGGAACUCUUUGAUGAUGUGUGUCAUAUGGAAUCUUGCUUCGGUCUGUUUGGUGAUAGUGUUAGUUUUGGUGCGAGAUAGGUGCAUGGUUUGCUCCUAAUCCAACAUAGGCUCAAAAAGCUGUUGCGGAAGCACCCGAUGGUACUCCUCGGCAAAGAGGCUCAAGCGGAAGCUCAGUUCGGUCUAUUUGAAAAUAGGGCUAAUCUUGAUACAAGAUAGGUGCACGGUUUGCAUCAAACGUACCAUAUGCUCAGAAAUCAAUUUGGACACAUCCGAUACAAUUCCUUGAUGACAUGAGUCAUAUGGAAUCUCACUUCGGUCCUGUCACAGACCGACCAAAUUAUAAGAGUUCAAGUGUAGAAACGAUCGACAAGCAAUCAAGUUUCCAAACUUGAGCCCAUAUAAUCCCGGUAGUCAACUGAAAUCACGAAGGACUUCAAACCAACUCGCAACAAACCAAGAUCGUAAUAGUUCAACAUAAACACAGCGAAUGUUACAUAGUCAUUCAUUGCCGUCGAAGCGGCACCACAUCGGAGUCAUUAAGUUAUUACAACACAUGUUCGAAGUAGCGGAAGCAAAAUAAUUACACACACUUGUUCAAAGUUCAGUUCACAAGUUCUUGUUAUUGCCAGAGUCUACACCAUCCUUCCAAAAGCAACAGGUACGAGUUUGUUAGAGAACCGUGCCCAAUGGUUAGUCCUCAUCCCCAGCGGGAUGGAGACAGGUCUUGCAGAAGCCGUCAUAAAAGAUAUCAUCUGCAACAGGUGGAAAUAAACCCUGAGUACUAGAAUGUACUCAGCUAGACUUACCCAUCUAGUAAAACAUAAAAGACACCAAGGAUCAUGCAAGGCCAAUAUCAAUUAGGGCUAGUUGACUCAACAUUUGCCAAAAGCUUGCAUUAAAACUAACUUAUUGUGGAAGCAUCAUUUUUAUUCAUUAUCAGCCUACCACUAGAUUUGCACCUGUACUAAAGCACUUCACUUGAUUAUUACAAGCAAUAAUAACCAUAUCAAGUUCAUCAUAUGUUCUUCCUUGCUAUCAUCGUUAUCAUGAACCAAGUUCAUUAGAGAAUGCUACGUUUGCCGCUGCUCUGUCAAGUUCUCACUGACCGGGAGAGACGGCGAUUCGAAUCGAAUUCCUAUCCAGCUGGAGGGGUAUUCCUAGCACUCACCCAAGCAUCCCCCAUCGGAGAGCCAAUGGGUCACCUUUGGUAUGACUCAGGAAUCGCGGCUCCGAUCAACGCCGCACUCCCAGGGCUACCACUCUGCCAGGGAAGUCAGGAAUUUUAACUCACCUGCCUUUGUGCUUACGCCAAUGGUCCCCCACACACCGCACUUCCUCCGGUAGUGCGCACUUUAUACUUGCCGGUCUUCCGGCCUGAGUCAUACUACUCGGCUUCGCGGUCGGAACGAGUUAUCCGGCCAACUAAGUGUCAGGCAUGCGUUCAACAUGACAAUAGGACGUACAACGGUCGGUCCUUAGCUGCCACAGACGGAGUUACUACAACCUUGCAAAACUCCGCCCGGCUUAAGUCAAUUUAAUCAGGUUCCAUCCACGAUAGCACAUAUAGACCAUCGUGAUCCGACACAACCCUAUAUCGCGCAGGUGACAGGAAAUCACCCAACUUCUACCGAUUAAGCAUGGCUAAGCUGCUACGCGAUCCUAACUCUACAACCAGGGUAGGGUAAGUUAUCUGGACAAGGAUGGAGUAAAGUGCAGCAAAGGUUUCAUCACAACUCCUAUACUUAAUGCAUCAAUAGAUAUAACAUAUUAAAUAAACUUUCGAAAGUAAAGGGAGGCUUAGAAUGCUCCGGGGCUUGCCUUUCACGAACGAGGCUGGCUCAUGGUUCGGGCACUCAACUUCUUCUUCGGGCUCCUCGAGUCCGACCUGCUGGACCUCCACCUCCUGGCUGCCCUCCUAGCCUUCGGGGUUCGCUUGGAGCUCGAAGGAAGCGGUCACGUCCGAUGCACCUAUCGCAUGCUCAACUAAUAAGAAGACGUGCAUAAAAGAGGAUGAAUGCUUGAUACACAACUAAACUCACUAGACACUCAUUUACGGAGUAACUUCUAAGUGAACUUACAAGAAAACCACAUGAAUUGAUCAAACUGGACAAGUCAACUUAUAAACAGCAAGCACCCAAAACAGGACAGCUCAGUAAUCAGACCAUAACUAGUACUAGACAGAUCCAACAAAUAUGAGUGAGGACAUUCUGGAAAGCUUAUAAAAUUGCCUACAAUUCAUCUUUAAACUUCACAGUAAGAUUCAUAAGUUAAAAUAGCCUUAAAAACAAAGUUCCAGGUUCUGUCCCAGAAAACAGAGAGCACUUAUUUCUGGAACCCAACUUGGAACAGCCAUAACUUUUAAACUGCUAGGCCAAUUGAUCCUAAAUUUAAACCACAGCUAGUUCAUAAAGUUUACAACAACUUUGAUUUAUACAAGUUUCCCAGAAAACUCAGUUAUCAUUAAGCAAAAGGUAAAUUACUUCCUUGCUGUCCAGAACAGCUUUUAGCCCACCAAUUAAUUAUUUAAUGACAUAACCAAAACAUAAACAAUGCCAACCACAUUGCUUAUGAGCACAAGCACAUCACAAGAUAGCCAGAACAUCAUAUGAUGACCUCCAAAUAUUUAUUAACAAGGCAUUUAUUAAUUUAAUUCUAGAAAAGAGCAUAAUUACAAGAUACUGGUAAAAGUGCUCAGAAAAAUCUACAAAAAGUACAGCAGCACAAGUAUAGCACCAAAGCAUCACCAUAAAAUUUUUAGAGCAAAAGCACAUACCAAAUUAAAGAUAUACAUUUAUCAUGUGACAAGGUUUUUAUUUCGAAAAUUGAGAAACAUGACUUAUAUUGUGCCAAACAACAGAUUUCAGAUUAUUUACAUAUUAAGAAUACCAUAAACAAGUUUACUACCAGAGUAGAGCACCAGCAUAAGCACCAAUUAUUUUAUAUAAUUUAACUAAGGAAACAAGUCAUAUCUCAAACAUAAACUACAUAUCAAAGCUGCAGUACUUCAAAAAUCAUGAAAUAUUUAUCAUAGCACUCCAGUACCACACAGAGACUACCAUAAAAAUUUCAUAGCGAAAUAAGCAGUAUAACAAGAGAUAUGAAUUUAUUUAUGAAUAACAAGAUUAAAUCCUAAUAAAUAUUUUUCCCAGAAAACAUGGUUCAUUUUAUAUUUUUAUUAAAAACUAGCCAUCUCAAGGAAUACCACAAAAUUGGUUUCACAAAUUUUAGAUCUCAGAAAUAGGAGAUAUGAUUUUUGUAAGAAAGCCAAAAAUCAGGAUUUGAAUAAAAGAAAAGGAGGGAAGUGAGGUGACACUGACAGUGGACCCCGCAUGUCAGGGUCAUCUUCCUCACCGCCGAGGCGACUCUCGCCGGCGAUUGCUCCGCGACGGCGAGGUCUCCGGCCAAACCAAGGGCACCAUUGUGAUCCCCAGACUCUAGCGACUCGAUUGACCCCCUUUUCCCCACGGCGGAGCCACCGGAAAUGGCUCGCCGUCGAUCAUGGCGGCUCGGCGGAGGUGCUCGGCGUUACGCCGGAGCCCUCAAGCCGGUAGAGCGUGACCUAGGGUAUCCUACAGCACCAGUGGACUACGGCGAAGCUUCCUAGGUACGCGGCUUGGCUUGAAACAUCGUGGAACGCGCUGGCCACGAGAGACCCAAUCUCCGGCGGAAACACGGCGGCGCUGCGCAUCUUGUCCGGCGACGGUGGGUUCGGUAGAGCGUCCACCAAGAGGUGCAACCUCUAGCUAAGAACCUAAGCUACCUCUAGAACCUAACCAAAGGAGAUGGGAGGCUCCGAGGAGCUCAGCAUUGAGUUCGCCGGAAAAGAUGGUCACGGCGACCCGAUUUGGGGGAAAACGGAAAUGGCGGCUCACCGGUGGGUUUCGCGGUGAGCUAGAGGGUGGAGAGUGGAGAGCGGCUCACGGUGGAGCUAUGGGUGGAGUUUUGUGGACUGCGACGCAGUGAGGAGCGCACACGAGCUCGCCGGAGUGAGCUCGCGACGGUGAGCUCGCUGCGGCCGCACUUCUGGCGAGAGAGUGAGUGGAAGGAGAGAGUGGACGCGUCCACUGCGUCCAGGGCGUCGCCGUGGAGGUCAUGCGUGCGCCAGGGCGUCGCCGUGGAGGUCAUGCGUGCGCUGGGAGCUGACGAGCGGGGCCAACGCCGGCGUACGGGCGCCAACUGGCGAACAGGUGUCGCCCUGGACGUCCACGACGGCGAGCUCUGCUCUGAAUCAGGUGACGCGAUCAACGACUGACAAAGCGACUUCGUUGAUGAAUAACUUCCAAACCAGAGCGAGUUAGGAGAUGGUGUAGUUGACAAAGUUGGAGUACCAACUGAGUUCUACAACAAUGUCAACUAGAGCAAGAACCAGAUCGGCUUGGAUUGAGAGAUAUGGAGUUUUCAAAACCGAUCAAGCAAACUGUUUUCGUUCCAGGACUUAGAAAAUUUCCUAAGUGUUGGAAACAGCCCCAAAUUUGCCUUGUGGGUCAAUUUUGAGCUAGUUGUGGUCAUUUUCAUGAGAUGGCCCUAAAACAACUUUUGUUCCUUAUAAAAUUUGCUACAACUUUGCUGUAGAAAGUUUUGACAUGCAAAUAUUUUAUGAAACACUUUUUAAAAGCCUAAGCAAAAGAGGUUCCUAGAGCCUAUUUGUAUAAGUAUGACUUAAGUGAUUAUUUUGGAGAAGUGAUUGUUGAUAUUUGGGAACGCAAUAAGGAAUUGAUCCGCAAGCGCACGGAUAUCGGUGAGCACUUCACCCGGGAAAUUAUCUAGAGUAUCGUAUUUAUUUUUUUACCACUAGGAGAAAGAGUGCAUCUGACUAACCGGUCUAUUACUACUAACCUUUAGGCACAAAGAAUGUCUUUCGAUGUGAGUGAUAAAUAGAGAAGACUGCAACCGUAGUCUCCUUCUAACCUUGGUAAGGAUGAUCUACUGUUCUAAUGGGGAGGCUAAUGGAAUCUAGACACCACAAAGGAUGUUCGACCCGCACCUAUAAACCCUAUCCUUCCUGCUAACGAGAUGUGAUCUACAAAGGUAGCUCGGAGUUGUCACGUUCCUCACUACUACCAUGGUCCAGCUAGUCAGGGAAUAUCUAUGAGUACCCCAGCCUAAACACCACGUUUACGCCAGCAAUGAUUACUCUAAACUCUACGCGAAGAGAUUAAAGUAAACUCAUAAACCAUAAGAACAAUAAAACAAGAACUUACUAGAAUUUAGAAGUCGAAUUACUGAAGAAUCCUAGGAGCAAGCUUCGGGUUAGGAGAACUUGAUCCCGCAGGUACAAGCUUGGAGUAGACACCGACAGGCCGGGCUUUCUCCAAUCAACACCUCCACUCUAUCUCUCUCAAUCUAGUAGAAACUAGAAGAUCUAUUUCUACCUUACAUUGGUUGCUAAGCCUAAAAAGAAAUAUUAAUUAGAGAAGAGGUUUUCCUUCGAGGGCACCCCUCAGUCUCUAUGAUAAUUUCUCCAUGUCUUCUCCAGGGGCCAGGGGGGCCUUGCUUAUAUAGUCCUCCCCUUCUAUGCGUUUUUGGGUCGAUAGCCGAGGUGGUACUAUGUUUUUCUCGAUCCAAUAGGUCGGUGGAAUAUCCCGAGCGAAGGAGUCCUGAAUUGGCUCUAGCAGGGGGGCGGGCGCCCAGGCUACCAGGGCGGGCGCCCUGGGCCUGGCCCAGUUUUGCCUCCGCUUCGAUCUCGUGGCUUCUGGAGUCUUCUAGAUGAUGUAAAAUUACGCGGUGCGUUGAUAUCUCUAUGUAAUCCCGACAUGUGGGCCUUUCUUCCUUAUUUCCUGAUAACCACCUGCAGAAAUAGAUAAACAACAAAACUCGUGGAAUUCUGUCAGAUCAAACCCUAAUUCUAGGUGAUGGUUGCAUAUUGGUCUAUUCUCUUGUUUAUUUGAUAAUUAAAAUUGAUACUUAAGAAUCGUCAACAAAUACCCCCAUACUUAGGCUUUUACUCGUCCUCGAGAAAAGGAUGGUUAAGAAAAAUAUCUAGGGUAAAACAUUUAAAACAUUCUCUUUAUAUAAUUGCAGGGUGUUAAAAUUCCACUGUGUACCAUAGUCAGAGAAGUAUAUGAUUAAGAGUAAAGAUCCUUUCUUCUCAAUCCUGUCACUUGGAGUUUUUUUUAUAUAUUUUUAAAAGAAAGUUAGCAUACCUUUUGAUCCUCAUAGGUUCUCUCAGAUCACUCAUUAUCUUUUAUAUAUAUCUCACUGAGGUUGUUUUAAUUUGCAAAAAUUCUUAAGCAUUCUUACUUUGCAUUUAUUGCUUGAUCAAAACGGGAUCCGAGGAGGGGAAUGUCAUACUCUUAGAUCAAAGACUUUGGAAAUUAAAAUCUUUGUCAACUCUUGCUGGCAUAUUGCUUAUUAGAGGAACCAUGGGCUAUCAUUUUUUUUCUUCCUUCUUUUUUUUUAAGUGGAUACCGAGGUACCCCUAAUUCUACUGCCGGACACUUGUCCAUUUUUUCUGCGAGGUUGUCGAGCACUUGCUCCUUUUUAUUUCCUCGAAAUAUUUCUAUUUUUGCAUAGCCCAUGCCUCUAAUGCAAUAAUACUUCGGAAGAGUGAAUCUUACUGAAAUAAUGUCUUGAUCUUGGGAGCAUGAUAAAUCUCUCAACAAGGGUCUAACUCAUUUUGAACAAACUCAAUACAGAGCAGAUAGCUUUUAUAAUCAUAAUUAAUAUUUUCAGUCUUAUCAGGCAUAUAAAACACUGAGGAUGGUAGCUAGAAAUUUGAAUAUUUUGAAAUAAAUUCUCCAAGCAACAAUGAUAUCAAGAAUAAGAAACUCAUACUCUACCAUCACAUAUUCCAUAUUGACUUGAGUAACACAGGGUUUUAAAAUGAUUUUAUAAUAAUUGCAAGUUUUCAGGAAAUAUCACAGAUUGAGAUUAAUCAUGAUUAGAAAUAUUUUAAUCUUUUUAUUUUAUCAUGUCGGAAAUAGUAAUCUGCAUAAUCCAAAAUAAAUGUAUGUAUGAAGUAAAGUGUGCAGAGUGUGUACCUGAAUCGUGGAGUGGUGUAGUCGGAGUGUGUUUGGCAUGUCGAGGGAUCUCCCCCAUACUUGUUUUCUGCUUUCUUGCACAAAAAUAAAGUAGAGACACACAAGACAUAAUAAUAAUAGUAAUACUCUUUAUUGAUCUUGAGGCAUUUAGUACAAAAGACUGAUAACAAACUGAUAGCAAACUGAUGAUAAUAGCAAACUUAACCCGAAUUUAAAGAUAGAUAACUAAGAUGCAUUGCCUCAAGGUCUAAUCUAGAUAACUUAGCGGCGCUCUAAUUCCUUGAUCUUCUUGUUGGCACUGGCAAGAUCCUGCCUAAGGCCUAGUAUAACGGUGUUGUGGUUAGAGAGCUGCCUAGUGAGGGAAUUAAUCGAGGAUUGGAGGUCUAUGAUAAUUCUAUCUAGCCUGCGAACUUCCUCAUCAAUAUCCAUUAUAGUCUUGCGAAGCUUGGGAGGUGUCUCAAAAGCAUUGAGAGCGUGCUUCGAGGCUGCCUUUGGAGGGAUGAAACGGACUUUGGCUGCUCUAAUCCCUUCGAAGUAAGGCCUUUCCUCCUCUGUAGUGUAGCGAACGCUGCUAAUCUCGCCGCUUCGGUUGGUCUUGACUCCAACGACCCUCUCAUUGGGUCUAGGUGGAAGGAUCCUUGUGCCGGUUGGCACCUUGAUAGUGGUCUUUGUCUUUGAUGAUGAUCCUUUGAGGAGUAGGGGUUGUGGUGGUGCGGUGAGAACUAGUUGAGCAUGGUAAGAUUGGGCGGAGCUACGUUGGCAUAAUGGCAUGGCUUCUAGCUGACGCUCUGUGUUGGCCGGGAUGAGAGCACGGGUAUCGGGGUCUUCCACUGG
rnacentral:lncRNA from 1 species